CCUACGGGGGCAGCAGUGGGGAAUAUUGCACAAUGGGGGAAACCCUGAUGCAGCGACGCCGCGUGGGUGACGAAGUAUUUCGGUAUGUAAAGCCCUAUCAGCAGGGGAGAAAAUGACGGUACCUGAAGAAGAAGCCCCGGCUAACUACGUGCCAGCAGCCGCGGUAAUACGUAGGGGGCAAGCGUUAUCCGGAUUUACUGGGGGUAAAGGGGGCGCAGACGGCGAUGCAAGCCAGGAGUGAAAGCCCGGGGCCCAACCCCGGGACUGCUCUUGAAACUGCGUGGCUGGAGUGCAGGAGGGGCAGGCGGAAUGCCUGGUGUAGCGGUGAAAUGCGUAGAUAUCAGGAGGAACACCGGUGGCGAAGGCGGCCUACUGGACUGCAACUGACGUUGAGGCCCGAAAGCGUGGGGAGCAAACAGGAUUAGAUACCCUGGUAGUC
rnacentral:rRNA from 1 species